UCAUAUGCUUGUCUCAAAGAUUAAGCCAUGCAUGUCUCAGUGCAAGCCGCACUAAGGUGAAACCGCGAAUGGCUCAUUAAAUCAGUUAUGGUUCCUUAGAUGGUGGACAGUUACUUGGAUAACUGUGGUAAUUCUAGAGCUAAUACAUGCAACUCGGUCCCGACCGGAAGCGGAAGGGACGCUUUUAUUAGAUCAAAACCAAUCGGGCGUUCGCGUCCGUUUGCCUUGGUGACUCUGAAUAAAUUGUGGCAGAUCGCACGGUCUCUGCACCGGCGACGCAUCUUUCAAAUGUCUGCCUUAUCAACUGUCGAUGGUAGGUUCUGCGCCUACCAUGGUUGUAACGGGUAACGGGGAAUCAGGGUUCGAUUCCGGAGAGGGAGCCUGAGAAACGGCUACCACAUCCAAGGAAGGCAGCAGGCGCGCAAAUUACCCACUCCCGGCACGGGGAGGUAGUGACGAAAAAUAACGAUACGGGACUCAUCCGAGGCCCCGUAAUCGGAAUGAGCACACUUUAAAUCCUUUAACGAGUAUCCAUUGGAGGGCAAGUCUGGUGCCAGCAGCCGCGGUAAUUCCAGCUCCAAUAGCGUAUAUUAAAGUUGUUGCGGUUAAAAAGCUCGUAGUCGGACUUGUGUCACACGCUGCCGGUUCACCGCCCGUCGGUGUUUAACUGGCAUGCACGUGCUGACGUCCUGCCGGUGGCCCAAGCCGGGCUGGGAGUUUGGGUGCGGGAUUCCCUUCUGGGGCCCGCCUCGACCCCGGUCUCUGGGGAGGGCCUACUCAUACCCCUCGCGGUGCUCUUAACCGAGUGUCUCGAUGGGCCGGCACGUUUACUUUGAACAAAUUAGAGUGCUUAAAGCAGGCAGCAUCCGCCUGAAUACUGAGUGCAUGGAAUAAUGGAAUAGGACCUCGGUUCUAUUUUGUUGGUUUUCGGAAUCCCCGAGGUAAUGAUCAAUAGGGACAGACGGGGGCAUUCGUAUUGCGACGUUAGAGGUGAAAUUCUUGGAUCGUCGCAAGACGGACCGAAGCGAAAGCAUUUGCCAAGAAUGUUUUCUCUGAUCAAGAACGAAAGUUAGAGGUUCGAAGGCGAUCAGAUACCGCCCUAGUUCUAACCAUAAACGAUGCCAGCCAGCAAUCCGCCGAAGUUCCUCCGAUGACUCGGCGGGCGGCUUCCGGGAAACCAAAGCUUUUGGGUUCCGGGGGAAGUAUGGUUGCAAAGCUGAAACUUAAAGGAAUUGACGGAAGGGCACCACCAGGAGUGGAGCCUGCGGCUUAAUUUGACUCAACACGGGAAACCUCACCAGGCCCGGACACCGGGAGGAUUGACAGAUUGAGAGCUCUUUCUUGAUUCGGUGGGUGGUGGUGCAUGGCCGUUCUUAGUUGGUGGAGCGAUUUGUCUGGUUAAUUCCGAUAACGAACGAGACUCUAGCCUGCUAACUAGUCGCUUCCGGCAUCCUUUAGUGCUGCCGGCGACUUCUGAUCUUCUUAGAGGGACAGGCGGCUUCUAGCCGCACGAGAUUGA
rnacentral:rRNA from 1 species